rnacentral:rRNA from 1 species
GAUGAACGCUGGCGGCGUGCUUAAUACAUGCAAGUCGAGCGGACGGACGAGAAUCUUGCUGCUCUCAUGUUAGUGACGCGCGAGUGAGUAACCCGUGGAUAACCAACAUAUAAGACUGGGGUUACUUAGAGAACCCGUAGCUAGUACCGGAUAAUGUAUUCCACCGCAUGGUUCAAUUGUGACAGACGGUCUUGCUGUUACUUUUAUAUGGUUCCGAGCUGCUUUAGCUGGUUGGUACGGUGACGGCUUACCAAUGCAAUGAUGCAUAGCCGACCUGCGAGAUGGAUCGGCCACACUGGAACUGAGUGACGGUCCAGACUCCGACGGGGGGCCGCAGUAGGCAAUCUUGCGCAAAGGGCGAGAGCCUGACGGAGCAACGCCGCGUGGGUGAUGAGGGUCUUCGGGUCGUGAAACUGUGGUAUUAGGGAUGAACAUAUGUGUAAGUAGCAGUGGACAUCAUGACGGUACCUGAGCAGAAAGCCACGGCUAACUACGUG